GACGAACGCUGGCGGCGUGCCUAAUACAUGCAAGUCGAGCGGAGCGGCGGACGGGAGAGUAAUGCCUAGGAAUCUGCCUGGUAGUGGGGGAUAACGUCCGGCAACGGGCGCUAAUACCGCAUACUAUCAGAUGAGCCUAGGUCGGUUUGGCUAGUUGGUGGGGUAAAGGCCUACCAAGGCGACGAUCCGUAACUGGUCUGAGAGGAUGAUCAGUCACCCUGGAACUGGAACACGGUCCAGACUCCUACGGGAGGAAGCGGUGGGGAAUAUUUGACAAGGGGCGAAAGCCUGAUCCAGCCAUGCGGCGUGUGUAAAGAAGGUCUUCGGAUUGUAAAGCACUUUAAGUUGGUAGGCGUUACCAACAGAAUAAGCACCGGCUAACUACGUGCCAGCAGCCGCGGUAAUAC
rnacentral:rRNA from 1 species